UUAUAUAACUUUAUUAAUACUAUUAAUAAUACUAUUAGUAAUACUAUUAAUAAUACUUAGUUAUAUA
rnacentral:tRNA from 1 species